GCCCUAUCAAACUGUGUUUAUCUUGUAAUCCACAGACAAGAAGAAGGGAGGCAGAUUCCAGCCUUUUAAGAAGUUGUUUGGCAAAAGGAAAAAGAAAGACACUUCAUUGUCCCGGGAGGAGUCGGUGGGGAAGAAGAGUUCCUCUUCCCAGAGUGUUAGCAAUGAGACCUUCUCUUCAGAUGAGGAGACCCUGGAGGACAAUCUAAGGUAAUAACUUGCACUUUCUUUUUCAUUUCUCUGGUGUACUCCUAGGUUGGGGAAUGGGAUCCCUAAGGAGGCAGGUGCCAUUUGGGGAUUCACCAGGCAGGAACAGCCUCACAAGUGUGUCCCACCUGGGGCAUGCUGGCAGCACUUGUGCGUUCUGUGUGGAGAAGUCACCUUGGAGACUUAGCAGACGAGUCUGGCCUCACUUUCCUGGAGUGCACAGGGACCGGGCGUUGGUGUCUGCCUGCCCUGUUGGUAGAUGGCAGUACACGGCCCCGCCCAGCAAGGUCCUCAGGAUCGAAGACCAGGUUCCCACGUCCCAUUACUUGCCAAAGAGAAAAUGACCACAGACUAGACCUCACAUUUGAGUUGAGGCCACAGAUUGCUCAGGCACAGGGCGAGCACCCUUUGCACCCCUGGCCAUCUCUAGCAGCUUCUGGGAUGUGUUUUGGUGAAGCUUGUAACUUCUUUUUGUCUUCCUCCUUCUUUCCCUCCCUCCUGCCUUCCUCCCUCUUAGAACACAGGCACCAAAUCUCACGAUGUCUGUGUCAAAAAUUCAGAAAAGCAGGGUCAGGGGGAACUUAUCACCUGAGUGCUGGGCACUGAAGUCAGAGUCAGCUGGCUGCACUGACAGUUUAGAAAUGGGCUCCUUGAGGGUUGGGGUCAUAGCUCAUUGGUAGAGCACUUGCCUCACAUGCAUGAGGCACUGGGUUCGAACCUCAGCACCACAUAAAAUAACUGAAUAAAAUAAAGAGAUUUGUCCAUCUACACUUAAAAAAAAAAUUUAAAAAGAAACAAAAGUUCACUUUGAGUUUUAAAAAGAAAGAAAUAGGCUCCUUGAAGAAGCCUUUGCAAGUACCUAGUCUGACUGAUUUGCCCUCACCCAUGCUCUCCAAUGUCAUGAGCCUGGCUCCAGCAAAGAACUUCCUAUGGAAAUGACUGAUUUGCUUGUCUGUCUCUCGUUUGACUGUUAUUCUUAUGAAGUCAGGGACCGGGUUUAACUCGGUGUCCUAUAAAUUUUUUUUUUUAAAGUUCCUAUGAAUGUCUCGCCCUGGUACCUAAUGCAGGCUGAAGGAAGGGAUGUAGGAAAUGUGAUAUUCUUACUGUGUUGCAAGGAGAAAGACAACUUCUCUUUCAGUGGUGUGUGUCAGUAAAUUCUAAUGGACACUACUUACUGUUGUGCGCAAAUUACAAAACCCUCAGGCAGGCAGUGUGCCUUAAGCCCUAUGGUGUUCCCAGCAGCAUCCGUUAGUUCAACCACCACUGACUGUCGACAGGCCUGUGUUUGUUUUUCAUUGCCUUCACCCUUCAGGAAGGAGAGGACUUAACUGAAAGGAACACUCAGCCAGCCCUGAGGGACCCCACUGUUGGAAUGCCCGUGAAUAUCGCCCAGUACGAAUCCAUUUUGAUUUUACUUCAGUUUCUUCAGUUGUAAAACAGGAACGUGAAUCUUUGCCUCUGUGUCAGAAUGAGAUACAGGUACUACUAAAGCAUGCUCAAGAAGUCAUUUUAUGCAAAAAUGAGGUCGUGUGGAAAGUUCGCCUUUGGAAAAAUGAUCCUAUAAAACCAACUUGUCUUUUUUAUAGUAGGUAAUGGUUCUGCCAUGUCCCUGAAGUCGUCUUGAAUUGUUUUGGACUCAGAGGAGAUGGAGAGCUCAGAAGUUCUCUUCUCACUUAAGUCUACAUUCUAUUUCCCUCUUGAGGUUUCCUUAAGUUUUUAAGGUUUUCAAAAGCUUGCAAAAGCUCAUAUUAGAUCAAGCAGCUACAUUUCUAUAAAAUAUGGAUAAUUUCACCCAUUCCCAUUAUUGACUCUUGUUUAUAAACUUCCACUUAUGAAACAUGUGCUAUAUUCCAAUUAAGUAUGUAUUUAUAUUAAAAGCUCAUUUAAUAAAUAAGGGAGCUAGCACUUUGGAGUAUACAUUUUUAAAAAUAUCUAAAUACUUUAAAAAUUAAAAUGGAAUUAUAAACAGUGGCUUGUGAGACUGAGACAGGAGGAUCAUGAGUUCAAAGUCAGCUUCAACCAAAGUGAGGUGCUAAGCAACUCAGUGAAACUGUGUCUCUAAAUAAAAUAUAAAAUAGGGCUGGAGAUGUGGCCCAUGAGAGUGAGAUUUCUUCACUGAGUCAGAAUUUAAAUUCACUGAGUCAGUGGUCCAAUACCCCUGGGGUCAAACCCCAGUACCCCCCCCCCCAAAAUUGAAAUAUAGAAAUAAUCUAAAAAUAUGUAUUUCCCCUUCUUCCAGGAAAUUGACAAUUACAAAACAAUCCUGUCCACAAAGUAAAAAUUGCAUGUAUUGCCUACAGCAUAACUGAACUUCUGUCUGCCCACCUUUUAGAUGGAGAAAAUGAAAAAUAUUGUUUCCAAUAAUUAUUAUUUUCAGUUCACUGCUCAAUUAUGUUGCAAUGAUUUUUAAACGUAACAUUUUACUUAGGGAAAACUCUCAUUGAAACUCAAAACUCAAAAUUCAUUCGAUGCAUUGUUUCAUGUCUAUAAUCUCAGUGACUCUGGGGCUGGAGGAUCACAAGUCCAAAGCCAGGCUCAGCAACUUAGCAAGACACUCUCUCAAAAUAAAAAAUGGCUGGGGAUGUGGCUCAGUGAUUAAGCACCCCUAGGUUCAAUCCCUGGUACAAACAACAGCAACAACAGAAAUUCUAUCAACAUGAUCUUGGGUAGAGGUUCAAGGAGGCAGAUUGCAGUGCAGUGUGAGGGAGAAUUUCAUAAUUAGUAAAGCCACCUAAAAAUAGGAAGUUUGUGAUAUGUCCACAGGGGAUGGGGUCCAUGAGAGUGAGAUUUCUUCACUGAGUCAGAAUUUAAAGUGGCUGAACUUCAACAUGUUAUUGAACUCUAAGAAUCUGUAAUUUCAGAAAUGUUUCUGUGACCAAGAAUAGCUCCUCAUUGAUCUGCUCCUUCUGCCUGAGGUUUUCCAUUUCCUUUGGGCUUUUAAAGCAUUCUGUUCUUCCUCUAGGUGAGAAGCCAUUGUGUCUCCUAGGCUGCUGCUUUUAAAUUAUACAUGCCUUGGGAAAAGCAAAGCAAUGAAACACCACCAGUUUUUAACAAUUUAAUGUGACUUUCUUUGUUAGUUAAAUACAAUUAAUACUAUGCUUCCAGAAGUAUGUGAAAUAGAUGUUAUAUGUAAAAGAGGGGAGAAAAGGAUCGUUUUGAUAAAUUGGUUUGGGUAAUGCUGGUAAUUCUUUACAUGGAACUUAUAGGGCUUCUGCUGUGUUCAUGUGCUCUGUGAAUCCUAAGACGAGGGAUGUGGUACAGAACAUUUCCAAGAGUCCUUUCUUUGACUCCAGAUCCUUUUUUUUUUUCAUAGAAAUAUCCAAUGGCAUGUAUUAAAUCUACCACUAAUUGAGCUUAAUGUGAUAUGUUUUGCAUAGGUGAACUCAUGGAAUAUUUACUAUCCUCUAAGAUUGACAUUAUUAUUCCCUGGAAUACUAAUGAGAAAAGUAAGGCUAGAGUGACUUGCCCAAGGUCAUACAGCCAGUAAGUCCCCAAACUAUUCAAACAUAAAGAGUGCAUUCUUAAGUGUUGGCUGCACCGCCUCUCAUGGAGGCUGCAACCUUACUAGGGAGCUAGUCACAUGGCCCUGAGUUGUCCUACCAGUCCUGGGUCACUAGACUUAGGUGUCCGACUGCCUCCUGCGCCUGACUGAGGUUCUGUUUACUAAGAGUCCACUUGUUCUGCUUCCAGUUUCUUCUGAACACCAAUUACCUAUUAUACAAUGCACAACUUCAGCGCUUUAUACUGAGUACCAACUGUAAGCACAGGGAGAAAUGAAGGUGCUCUAGAGUGGGUGAGCUCACUCUAGGACUGAAAGAGUCAGGACAGGUUCAGGAAUAAGGAGGUCAUGAGCUGGCUCCAGAUAAUGUGCAGGACUUGGAGGAGCUGAGAAGAGCAUGAACCUGCCAGAUAAUGACAUAAGCAGAAACUUUCAAGGACGAAUGAAUGUGGUAAAUAUAAUAAGAGGGGACCUUUCCAUGUUACUCUAAGACACUAUUGUUGCCCUCAUACCAAAACCAGGCAAAGACAUUGCAAAAAAAAAUUUUUUUAAUUAAAUUUUUUAAAAUCCCAUAGGCCAAUCUCCUUAUGGAUAUAGACACAGAGAUCUUCAACAAAAUACUAGCAAAUGGAAUUCAGAAACAUAUGAAAAGGAUUAUAUUUCAUGACCAAGUGGAAUUUGUCCCAGGAGUGCAAGGUUGGUUUAAUGUAGAAAAAAAUCAAUCAGUGUACUAUGUCAUAUUAAUAAAAAUAAAGGAAGAAAAAAUAAAACAAAGAACAAAAAAACACAACCAUCUCUAGAUGUACAGAAAAAACGUUUGACAAAAAUCCAAUGCUCUUUUAUAACUGAAAAACAGAAACUACACAAUAGGAAUAGGCAGGAAUAUUUUUGUCUUUGUAAAGGACACCUAUGAAAAAUCCACAGCUAAUAACAUAAUGGUGAAAGAAUGAAUGUGUUCUCUUAAAAUCAGAAAUGAGAAAAGGAUGUCUUUUCUGAUCCUUUCUAUUCAACACUGUACUGUGUAGUAUUGUACUAUAGUUUAUUACUGGGACAAUUAGAAAAGAAAAAUAAAUAAAAAGCAUCCAUCUUGGAAAAGAAGUAAAACUAUCUCUGUUUACUAAUGCCAUGAUUAUAUAUAGAAAGAUAUGAGAAAUCCACUCACAUAAAAAACUACUAAACUAAUAAACAAGGUUGAGCAAGGCUGCAGGAUGUGGGAUUGGAGUUUUUGUAUCUCAGUAGUAUUUUUGUAUGCUAUCAAUGAAUGAUCUGAAAAGGAACUUAGGAGAACAAUUUCAGUUGCAAUAACAUCAAAAAGAAUAAAAUACUUUAGAAUAAACUUAAUGAAACUAAUACAAGACGUAUACACUAAAAAUGACAAAUAUUAUUGACAAUGACAUGAAAGAUCUAAAUAAAUGGGAAGAUAUACUAUGUUCAUGGAAUAGAAAAUAUUACUAAGAUGGCUGUACUCCCAAAUUGAUCAGUAGAUUCUCUGCAGUCCCUAUCAAUCCCAGCUGUCUUUAUUUUACUCUAUAAAUGAGCAAGUGGAUCCUAAAAUUCUUAGGAAAAUGCAAGGAAUCCAGAAUAGCUAAAAAAAAUCCUUAAAUAGAAAAACAAAGUUGGAGGACUCACACUUCCCAAUAUUAAAACUUAUUAUAAAGCUAUAGUAAUCUGAACAGUGUGAUGUUGAUAUAAGUAUAUGUAUCUAUUGAUGGGUGUAUGUAAAAUUGGGUUUAUAAUAGAGUCCAGAUAUAAACCCUUACAGUUAUGAUCAACUGAUUUUCAACAAGUGUGCCAAGACAAUUCAAUGGGUAAAAAUAGUCUUCAACAAAUUAAGCUGAGACUAUUAGAUAGUUACAUGCAAAAGAAUGAAAUUGGACCCUUUUAUUAUACCAUGUCCAAAAAUUAAUUCAGAAUGGUAUAGACCUAUAAUUCCAGUGACUUGGGGAGGCUUAGGGGGGAGGAUUGUAAAUUCAAGGUCAGCCUUAGCAACUUAGUGAGACCCUCAGCAAUUGAGCAAAAACCUGCCACAAAAGAAUAAAACAAUAAAAAUUAAGGACUGGGAGUGUAGUUCAGUGAUAACAGUUCAGCUCCCUGGUCCAAUCCCAAGUACCAAACAAAACAAAAACCUCUUUAAAGAAAACAAAGAAAAGUAAGUCUCUUGAAUUAGGCAGUGGUUUCUUAAGUACCCAAAGCACUCAUAACAAAGGAAGAAAACAGAUAAGUUGGACUACAUCAAAUUUAAAUUUGUGCUACACAUGAUACCAUCAAAAAAGUGAAAAAAAAAAAAGCUGGGUACAGAGGCACAUGCCUGUAAUCCCAGUGUCUCAGGAGGCUAAGGCAGGAGGAUAAAAGUUCAAAGCCAGCCUCAGCAGAUUAGUGAAACCCUAAGCAAUUUGUCAAGACCCUGUCUGAAAAAUAAAAUAAAAAGGGCUGGGGAUGUGGCUUAGUGGCUAAGCACCUCUGGGUUCAGUGGAAGAAAGGGAAGGAAGGAGGGAUGAAGAGAGGGAGGGAGGAAGGAAGGAAGGAGAUCCAGAAUAAGAAAACAUUUGCAAGUAAUAUAUCUGAUAUCUUUAUAAUAGGUAAAGAACGCAUACAACUCAAUAAUAAAAAAGGCAAAAAGUUUCUUUAUUUUAAUGAGCAAAGGAUUUGGAUAGACAUUUAUUAGAAAACAAAAGGGUAUAAAAAUGUCCAUUAGCACGUAAACUGUACUUGCUGAACAUCACUAGCUAUAAGGGAAAUGCAAAGAGAUACCACUUUCCACUCCUUAGGAAGAUUACAACCCAAAAGACAGACAAAAACAAGUGCUGGCUGGGGUACAUAGAAAUUGGAACCCUUAUUCAUUCAUGGAGGUAAUGUAAAAUGUUAAAAGAUUUAGGUGGUGCACUCCCAUAAUCCCAGCUCCUCCACAGGCUGAGGCCGAAAGGAUCACAAAUUCCAGGCCAAUCUGUCUCAGAAAGGGGCUGGGUCUCAUACUAGAUAAAAGUGCCAAAAACGUAUGUUGGAGAAAAGAUAGCCUCUUCAACAAAUGGUGCUGAGAAAACUGGAAAUCCAUAUGCAGCAAAAUGAAAUUAAACCCCUAUCUCUCAUCAUGCACAGAACGCAACUCAAAGUGGAUCAAGGACCGAGGAAUUAGACCAGAGACCCUAUGCCUAAUAGAAGAAAAAGUAGGCCCCAGUCUCUAUCAUGUCAGAUUAGGCCUCAACUUCCUUAACAAGACUCCUAACAAGAAAUAAAAUCAAGAAUCAAUAAAUGGGAUGAAUUCAAACUAAAAAGCUUCUUCUCAGCAAAAGAAAUAAUCAAUGAGGUGAAGAGAGAGCCUACAGAAUGGGAGCAAAUUUUUGCCACACACACAUUAGAUAGAGCACUAGUCUCUAGGAUAUAUAAAGAACUCAAAAAAACAUAAUACCAAGAGAAACAAAUAACCCAAUCAAUAAAUGGGCUAAGUAACUGAACAGACACUUCUCAGAAGAAGAUAUACAAUCCAUCAACAAAUAUAUGAAAAAUGUUCAACAUCUGUAGCAAUUAGAGAAAUGCAAAUAAAAACUACCCUAAGAUUUCAUCUCGCUCCUGUCAGAAUGGCAGCUAUUAAGAAUACAAAUAACAAUAAGUGUUGGCGAGGAUGUGGGGAAAAGGUACACUCAUACACUGCUGGUGGGACUGCAAAUUGGUGCAGCCAAUAUGGAAAUCAGUAUGGACACGCCUUAGAAAACUUGGAACGAAACCACCAUUUGACCCAACUAUCCCACUCCUCGGUUUAUAUCCCAAAGACUUAAAAACAGCAUACUACAGGGACACAGCCACAUCAAUGAUUAUAGCAGCACUUCACAAUAGCUAAAUUGUGGAAGUAACCUAGAUGCCUUUCAAUAGAUGAAUGGAUAAAGAACUGUGGCAUAUACACUCAAUGGAAUAUUACCCAGCAUUAAAAGAGAAUAAAAUCAUGGCAUUCGCAGGUAAAUGGAUGGAGUUGGAGAAUAUCAUGCUAAGUGAAGUGAGCCAAUCCCCAAAAACAAACACUGAAUGUUUUCUCUGAUAAGUGGAUGCUGAUCCAUAAUGUUGGGAAGGGAGCACAGGAGGAAUGGAGGAACUUUGGAUAGGCCAAAGGGGAGGGAGGGGAAGGAAGGGGCAUGGGGGUAGGAAACAUUGUGGAACGAGAUGGACAUCAUUAUCCUAAGUACAUGUAUGAAGACACAAACAGUGUGACUCUACUUUGUGUACAACCAGAGAAAUGAAAAUUUAAGCUCUACAAAUCAAAAUGCAUUCUGCUGUCAUGUUUAACUAAUUAGAACAAAUAAAUACAUAAAUUUAAAAAGAAGAGGCUGGGGAUGUAGCUGGUGCAAUCUUCAGGACUGCCAAAAAUAAACAAAUGAAGAUUUAGGAUAAUUUUAAGUCUUCAUUCAGUACCUUCAAUUUAUAAGUGGGAAAAUGGGCUCAAAGAGAUCCAUCCCUGUGCUCUUAGUAUCAGAGAUAUGACUAGAACCUCAGCCUGCUGAUUUCAUUCGUGGCGAUCCAUUUACCAGGAGCAGCCCCAUGUCCCACCUCUUCCUCUUCACCUAAUCCCCCUACAUUCUUCAAUUUUCUGCCCAAAUGUGGCUUCCCCAGGGGAGCAAGCUUUCUCCAGUUCCCUCGACCUAGAUCAAGUCCCUCCCUUGAUAUUAUUCUUACAACUUCUACUUUUUUUUUUUAAAGAGAGAGAGAGAGAGAGAGAGAGAGAGAGAGAAUUUUUUAAUAUUUAUUUUUUAGUAUUUGGCCUACACAACAUCUUUGUUUGUAUGUGGUGCUGAGGAUCGAACCCGGGCCGCACGCAUGCCAGGCGAGCGCGCCACCGCUUGAGCCACAUCUCCAGCCCACAACUUCUACUUUUACUUGUGGCCUGAGGUCCCUAACCCUGGCACUCUGCCCAGCACAUAGUGGGCAUUCUGUCAAUACUCACUGAAUGGAUGGGUGCCUGAAUAUUACCCUCUACUAAGUAGGAGAAGUAAAAGAAUUAGGGUGAAUAAGUCUAGUGGGGGAAAGCUUGAUGAAUCAGUAAUAGCAGUUUUUAGAGGUACAAGAGGUAGGAAGUGCAUCUGACCCCAAGCCAAGGUCCUCUUGUGAAUGCAGAUGCUGUCACUAAUAAGCUGGGUGACCUUAACCAAGUCAGCCACUUCAUCUGUUAAAUGGACAUGCUAUCUUCCAGGGUUAUCAUAGGACAAAAAAAAAAAAAGAUCCAUGCAAUUUUACACUACCUGCUAUAAAGUAGUUUACAAACACGAGAUGAUGUUAUGAGAUAAAGAUGUUGAUGACUAGUGUUCUAUUUCCAGAGCAUAAACUAAGAGGAUUGAUUCAAAUGAUAGCUAGAAAAGAUCUUUCUCCACAUGGGGCAGCCAAGGAGUGGACUGAGGAGUCUGGAAGCCUGCGGAGUCCCUGCAGAGUUUGAGAGGCAGCUCAGAUGACUGCUGUCCUUAGGGAUUGGGGUAGAUGACCCCUUUGAUUUCCAACUCCAAGACUGAGUAUUUUAAGAUUCCAAACUCUCCUCCUCUUCCUUGAGUCUGUAUGGCAUGCCCUGUUUCUGUUGUGGAAGGUAAUGUGGAACUCUGUAGCCUAUUGGGUGUCACAUUUUUUCAUAGAAUAUAUAGAAUCCAGGAUGAGCCUCCAGGAUGCCACAUAAUGUAUCCUCUGGUCCCUGUCUCUUCCAGCAACUCCAGUUUGUUUGAUGAGGAUAACUAAUUGCUCUUUAUUUUUCUUUUUCCAUACUGGAUACUUUAUUCCUUUGGUAGUUUCCUUCAUAGUGGAUUUCUAUGAAGGAAUAUAGGUUUACAUUUGUACUACAACUGUAUUUAAGAGCAUCGCUAUAAAGAUGUUUUCUCAACUUUUUUUGUUUAUUAGUUCUAAUCAGAUAUACAUGAUGGUAGAAAGCUCUUUGAUCCAUUGCACACAAAUGGAGCAGAAUUUUUCACUUCUCUGGUUGUGCAUAAAGUAGAGUCACACCAUUCAUGCAAUCAUACAUGUACUUAGGGUAGUGAAGUCCAUCUCCUUCCACUGUCUUUCCUAUCCCUUUGCCCCCUCCCAACCUCCCCUUGGCCCCAUUCAAAGUUCCUCCACUCAUCCCAUGCUAAUCCAUAUGGGCGGGGGCAUGGGAUGAGUGGAGAAACUAAUUGCUCUUUAGCAUUUCAUUUGAAUGAGACUCACGGAUCUGUUUAGAAAGAAAACUGCUGAUCAAUUGCAAUUGCCCCUGUUGUCAUGGAAACAGGCUGAAAUGAGACUGUAAUUAUAUUUCCUUAUUCCUGAAGUGAAUCCCUAAUCAUGCCAUAGUAAUUACCCAAUAUCUAUGUUCCCAAAUUACAUGAUGCUUGUCCAAAAAAGACAAAGGCUGAGGAGUUAGAGGACUGGCCUGAAGCACGUGUUCACGUGCAGCUGCUGAAAGUUUUCUCCUUUUUUGGAUAUAGAGAAUUUCCCUCUGUUGGCUCCAAUCCAAGGGUAGAUGACGUCAGUAGGUCUCAGAAUGUGCCCAGAACUUAUGGUAGUGUUAAGAAGGCUAUACCAGGUAGCACAAGUUCAGUUCUAACAGAAAACACAAGUGCUAGUGUCUUCAGCAAUAAUGACAUAUCAACCAAUGAUGGAAGGUGGAGAGCUUGAUGAGUCCAGCAACAUUAUCCAGAUCUGGUCAGAUUCCUUUGGGGAGUGGGCUUUUGUCUUCAUGUUUGUUUCCUCAUGGUCACAAGAUGACUGCCACAGUUCCAGGUGUCACACACAGACAACAAAGACCAGGAAUGGAAAGAGGACUGUCCCAGGUCUGGGGAUAUAGCUCAGUUGGUAGAGUGCUUGCCUCACAUGCACAAGGCCCUGGGUUCAAUCCCCAGCACCAAAAAAGAAAGAAAGAAAAAAAUAGGACUGUCCCUGUCUCAUGUAUUUUUUUUUUUGGUGGGGGGGGGGGAUUGAAUUCAGGGGCACUGAGCCACAUCCCUAGUCCUAUUUUGUAUUUUAUUUAGAAACAGGGUCUCACAGAGUUGCUUAGCGCCUCACUUUUGUUGAGGCUGGCUUUGAACUCAUGAUCCUCCUGCCUCAGCCUCCCAAGCUGCUAGGAUUACAGGCAUGCGCCACCACACCCAGCUUUGUGUCAUUUUUGUGAAUGAGAAUUUCCCAGGAAUGCCUCCUUCUAGCAAGAUUAUUUAUUUAUUUAUUUAUUUUUACAUGGUGCUGAGGAUCAAACCCAGGGCCUCACACCUGCAAGGCAAGUUCUCUACCACUGAGCUACAGCCCCAACCCCUGCCGCUUGCUUUUAAUGGUCCCUUUCACACCAGACCCUGCUGCAGACAGUAGGCCAAGACAAUGGAACUUAAAAUGGAGAGGAGCUCUUCUUGGCUCCUCCCCAUACUCAAAGUACAAAGUCCACAGUGGGUGGGUGAGGGAUGGAGUUGCAUGACUGUAGGUCUGGCUUUGAUUUGCUUUUCUUCUCAACUUGUCUCUCUACUCUGACCUUCCAGUGCCCUGAUCUCCAGGCCACAGGCCCAGCAGGUGCCCUCUGUCCCAUCUCCUCCACUUCUCCAGAUAAGCAUGGGCUUGGGUAUUCCCGUUGCUGAGGUGUGGCAUCCUUUGCUCUCAGCAGCACAUACCACCAAGAAAGAAAGCAGCCUCUAGGGGAGAAGUAGAAACAAAACACCAUACAGCUAUACAAAUGAGCUAUCCAUCGGGAGGGACUAGCCUAGAAAAUGGAACCAAGGUGCAGAUCCUAGCAUUCAGCCAUUAGCAUCCAAAUUUCCUUUCUGGGACUUGCCUUCGCCUUGACGUGUGUAGCUCCAAUAGGACAUAGUGUCUGCUUCCCGUGGCAGAAGCCAAAAGGCUGAGAUCCUCCACUUCCCCUCCCGCUACAGUCUGGCAUGAGCACAGACAGACUGUCUCUCCUAGGACCUGCCUGGACAGGUGUCUCAAGGAUGUAAGAGACACAACCUUAAGAGGAGUUGACAGCCGGGCUCUUCCUGCAGCUGACGAGGCCUAGAUGUCUCGUGCUCUCUCAGUUCCUGUGUUUUUCCAAGCCUGGGCUCUGCACCAUUUCUUUGGGUUGAGAGAGGUAAAGUCAGUUUCUAUUGCUUGCAGCUAGGAAAUGUAACGGACAUAGGUAGACACCAGGAGAACAAAGCGAGACAGAAGGUUUGAAAUAGAAGACAGAAAGCAAAACCCUGAGCCAUUCCCUGGUUUGAGUUGAAAAGAGAGCCUGGAAGAACUCUUUAAAGCUGCUGAAGAUCCUCCUGACUUGGCCACCAGGGGCUGCUCAGAGCUUUCCACAGUGGCCACCUGCACACCCCCCCCCCCCCCCCCCCCCCCCCCCCCCCGCACCCCCCCACCCCCAUCCCCGUGACCUGGAGUUCUCUCUCCUGCUUCAACUCGUGUGCAUCACGCCUCCCACUCCCUCAGCGACCUUUCCAGAAAAUCCAUCCGGUAAACCAGCUCACCCUACUGUACUAGUCACUGAUUGGCCCACUGAAAGAAUUUACUCACAGAUUUAAUCAUAGAAAGCAUGUGGGAGACACAAGGGCAGCAGAUGCGAUCCUGUCCUCAUGCAACUCAGUACCAUGUGGCCACAGAUGAUGCCAUUGUCAUCGUUGUUGUCAUGCCUGGGCUGCCCUGUACAACGUGCAAAGCACUUUUAUUUGCCUUCUCAUUUAAGGAUGAUCACAGUAGCCAUAACGUAAAGCAUCAAGACAUUCUGAACAGGGCUUUCAGAGGGAGAAAACACCCCUUUCUUCCAGGGAAGCAGGAAAGGCUGGGUGGAGUUGAUAAGAUAGGAUCUUGGACCUUGAAGGAUGAGUAGACUGAAUGGAGAGGGUGGUCUUGGGCAAUCCAGAGAGAGGCAGGACCUAAGUGGUGACAGAGCCCGAUGAGGCUGGAGGUAAAACCAGGGAUACAGUGACAGUCAGACAUGCUGACCUCCAGCUGCCCUCGGUGGUUCCUCCAUUUACUUCUGAACGUUCCCAUGCACAUUGUCCUAUGUGGUCAAGUGCAGGCGCCAUGGGCCCCCGCCACCUGCCCUGAUGGGGUGAUGGGGUGUCUUUCCAGCAGCUUCCUUUCAGAUGGUCCAGGGAAACAAAGUCUGAAGUGGCUUCAAAAUAAACAAUAAGGACAACAACAAUAAAAGUUUAAAAGUUUGAACUUUGUAUUGCUAUUGGCAUUGGCAUUGCUGUUGGUGGUUAUUUGAAUAAUGAUCCAAUCCGUGUAUUCCAACAAAGUAAGUAGGGUCACCCAGCCAGGCCUCCGCUGAGCAGCCUGAGAUCUUUCAGCACGGAGAUGGGCCCUUGAGAACAGCCCUGUAUUUUGUUCCACGUGCUGCCAGAGUGCACUGAGAGUGCUGUGCUAUUUGUUCUAAAAUAGCCUCUAGAGCCUGCGGGUAGACUCUUGAGAGCACAUCCAGCUCACUGAGCACAUGAAGGGGAAGAGAAGGAGAGUAAGAGCAGCAAGUCUUUCCUCUUGUCUUUCCAAAACCACCAAUGACUUAAGUCAAAGGACUCUGAUGUUCAAAUUGUUCUAAUAUAUAGGUAGGACAGACCCUCAAAGCCAUUCCAACACUGUUUUAGGGCUAAUAGCACACAUCCUUCCUCAGCAUCAGCAGCCUAUGUGAAGUCUCUGGUCUCCAGCCCAUAGAUUCUGGAAGGCAUUGGUGGUGUUUGACCCUCCUGCCUGGAGGGAGUGGGGUGGUGCUUCACUCCCCCUGGGGCUGCUGCUCCGGACACCACCAGGACCACCCUUUCCAGCUUUGCACCUCAAAACCCUCCACGACUCAGGCAAUGUCAAAAGGUUCUUCUUCUUUCUUUUCUUCCUCCCUCUUUUUCCAGUUUUUCUUAUCUUCUUCCCACCUUCCUUCUUCUCCUCCCUCUACUUCUUUUGCUCCAUAAAGUCUCUGCUAAUCUUUGCAGAUAGUAAAGACAGGACAAUUCUGUCGUGAAACAAGGACUGUGGUGCACCCAUUUACCUAAUUUUCGGCCACGUCUACACAGUUGAGUCAUAGUGAUCCAUUCCUACAUUUUUAAAGUUUUCGAUUAAUUCAUCCAUGUUCAUUGCAGCACCAUUCACAAUAGCCAAAGGUGGAAACAAGCCAGAUGUCCACUGAUGGGUGAAUGUUUAAAGGAGAUGUGGUGUGUAACAUAUGAAGAGAGAUUACCCCUUCUUUAAAAGGAAUGUAAGUCUGACAAGAUGCUACACCAUGAGUGAACCUUGGAGACACUGUACUGAGUGAAAAACUAGACACGAAAGGACAGAUGUUAUAUGAUUUCACCUACAGGAGACACCUGGAAGAGUCAAAAUGUAGAAAUAGAAAGUAGAAUCAAGGCUGCUAGAGCUGUGGGGAGAGAGGAAUUGUGAAGUUACUAUUGAAUGAACAUGGAAUUUCAGUUAGGGGUGAUGAGAACGUUCUAGAGAUGGAUAGUGGGGAUGGUUGUAUUAUAAUAAUAAUAAGAAUGGACUUAAUGUCAUUGAAUCAUAUGGUUAAAAUGAUAAAUUUUAUCUUACAUAUGUUUCUACCACAAUAAAAAAAGUCUCAAUCAAAAUUAUGGUAACAAAGAAAUCUGUGGAUGCUGACAUUAUUUUUGAUGUUGACAGAUUUGGUGUUGAAGAAGCAAAACUCAUUUCACCCUUUUUUUGCCAGGGGGAAUUGAACUCAGGGGCACUCGACCACUGAGCCACAUCCCCAGCCUUAUUUUGUAUUUUAUUUAGACACAGGGUCUCACUGAGUUGCUUAGUCCCUCGCUUUUGCUGAGGUUGGCUUUGAACUCGUGAUCCUCUGGCCUCAGUCUCCUAAGCUGUUGGGAUUAUAGGUGUGCACCUGGCUUUGUUUUACCCUCUCUCUUUUUUUUUUUCCAUUUUUCAUUUAUUUUAUUUUUGCUUCAGAAUUCUUUUUGAUUGGUUUAUUACAAUUAUACAUAGUAGUAGGAUUCAUUAUCCAUAUUUCUGCAUGCACAUAACAUAAUUGUUUAAUCUCAUUCCCCAGUACCUUCCCUUUCCUUCUCCCCUUCUUCCCCCAAUCCGCUUGCUCUACUCUACUAGUCUUCUUUCUAUUAUUAUUAUGAUUAUUUAAAUUACUGCAUUAUAAUUUCAUAUAGAAGUGGAAAUCACCCUCUUUGUAUAAGACUUAUAAUUGGGGGGGUCCAGGGACCUUAAUUAAGGCUCCUGCCUUAUGGUCCAGCAGCCACUGUUCAUAGUGUGUAUGUCCCCAAAGAAAUCCCAGUAUCUGCAAAUGUUAAAGUGGAAAGUUCUGUGAACCAAGCGUGGUGGCACAUGUCUGUAAUCCCAGUGGCUCUGGAGGCUGAGGCAGGAGAAUCUAGAGUUCAAAGCCAGCCUCAGCAAAAGCGAGGUGCUAAGCAACUCAAUGAGAUCCUGUGUCUAAAUAAAAUAGAAAAUAGAGCUGGGGAUGUGGCUUAGUGGGCAAGUGCCCCUGAGUUCAAUCCCUGGUGCCCCUCACCAAAAACAAACAAACAAAAAAACAGUUAAAUGGCUAUAUGACCAUCUGCAAUUAGAGGCUUAAAAUAUAGGAUUUUACAGGGCUUUACACAUGUCUUCUCAUGACCGACAAGCUGGGCCCUAUUUCUUACGCUUCAGCAGGGGGACUCUGAGGAUAGUUUUAGCAGUGAGGCUGGGAGACCUCUCAGCCCUUGGUUUACUCAUGACAAAGGGAGGUAGUGGAGAAGGGAGGGUGGCCUGCUUCACAAUCAGUUGUAAAAGACUUUAAAUGCCAAGAAUACAGAGGUCCAGGUGAACUCUGCUGAGGUGCAGUUUGUAAGAAAUUAUCCCUUCGCCUCCCAAUCAUGUAAUUUGUAGUUCUCAGCUGGUUUAGGACAAUGAUUCCCCCCCAGGCUCUUUGUUCAUUAGAACAUAGUUUUGAGCUUAGAUCUCCACACAUGGGCUUGGUUUCCAUUCCUACCCUGCCCUAGACCCUGGAACUUUGGGGAACAUUUUUACCUGCUCUGUCUCAGCUGCGUCUUCAGAGAAAAGGAAAUAAUAUACACCAUAGAGUAGAAAAAUCUACAUCAUGGGAGCCAGCAGCCAUGAUUUCUAAAGAUCUAAUAUAAAGUGGCAUUAUGUAAAUGAAAUUACUUACAAGAGCAUGUUCACUCAUGUAACUCAUAAUCCAGUUCCCAGUCUUGAUUUUUUUUUUUAGUUUUUAAUUUUUUAGUUGUAGAUGGACACAAUACCUUUAUUUUAUUUAUUUAUUUUUAUGCGAUUCUGAGGAUCAAAACCAGUGUCUCACACAUGCUAGGCAAGUGUUCUACAACCCCAGCACCCUUCACCACUAUUUUUCUAGUGCCUUAAAUUGAAACAAAAACCAAAUAUGAUAAGCUGGGCACACAGUGGCUAGGAGGCUAAGGCAGGAGGAUUACAAGGUCAAAGCCAGCCUCAGCAAUGGCAAGGUGCUAAGCAACUCAGUGAGACUGUCUCUAAAUGAAAAAAUACAAAAAGGGGCUUGGGAUGUGGCUCAGUGGUUGAGUUCCUCUGAGUUCAAUCCUUGGUACCACAACCCACCCCCCCAAAAAAAAAACAAAACUAAAUAUAACAAGAAAAAAGGUAUAAAGGUUUAUGAUCAUUUUGAAAAAACAUACCUCUUAAAAGCAAUGGUAACAUUAACAAAUAGGCUUUGAUAUGUAUAACGUGGUAAAAACUUAAUAAAUAUCAAAAAUUAUUUAAUUCUUCCAGUUAUGACUAGAAUGAAGUAGCUUUUGGGCAAAUCUGUACUGCCAUCAAGAACAGCUAGAAAUACAGAGCAUGUUAAGGACAUCCAUUUGAAGGCAUUACUUGGUGGCCAACUCACAGGACAGACCAGAGCAGUGAUAUCCAGGAGAGAAGGGAACCUUUGGUUGAGCACAGCCUUCCGUGUAUUGUUCCUCUCCUGUGGUCUUUAGUUGAUUUUUGGUGCAAGGCAAGAGGUCAGAAAGUCUGUGGGUAGUUGACAAUAGGAAGAGAAGACAGCAGAGCUAUAGGCAAUGUCAUGGGACCGGGAACUCAAAACUUGGAGUUUGAGGGUGCUAAGGUAGUCAGGGCUUAAGGGAUUAAGAUCCCCAGGAGAAGUCCAGAACAGUGAAGCCAGAUCUAGACAGAGUUUUCCUUUUGAGGCAUUUGCUAAUUUAUUAUAUUAUAUAAUAAAUAUUAUUAUAUUUAGUAAAUAAAUUUAUCAAAGUUGCUGGUUAUAAGAUUAGUAUUAGUAUUAGGCAAAGAGCUGACAGUUCAGAGUUUUUGGAAGCCUGUGGUACUGGAAAGAUAGAAAUUGGGUUUCCCAGCCUGCCAAGUAGGGGGAUCUUAGGAAAUAAACUAGGCUCUCUGUUAAGACUACAAGAGGACUUAGAAGUAGCAACAGAGGUAGUCUGAAUCCUACCAAGUUUGCUGGCCAGCCAUGAGUCAGCUGUUGGUGACUGGACGGAAGUGACUUGCUCUCUUGCCAUUUGCUGCCUACAAGAGAGUUGUGUGAAUCCUCUCUGGAAGGAGAGAACCUAACCUCCAAAAUUUUUCAUAUGUAUCGUUCAGUAAAAUAUUACCAAGCAUCUAAGAAACAAGAGUACAAGGAAAACAAGAUAAUAGACAUAGACCCAGAGGUGACUAAGAUACUGUAGUUUCAGAGACUUUUUAAGUAAUUUUGAUUAGGAUAGUCAAGAAAUUAGUUGAUGAGAUGGAGGAGUUUCACUGGAGAAUUGGAAUCUAUUAGAUAAGUAGAAAUUUGAGAUUUAAAAAAAGACUUCUGAAAUUCAGUGGGGGAUUUUAAUAGCAGAUUGAAAAAAACUGGAGAAUUUGCUAGUAGGCAGGUCCAUGGAAAGAUCUAGACAGAAUCGUUUUUUAGUAAGAAGAAUGAUAGAUACAGACAUGAGAAUAAAAGACAAAUGACUCAUUUUUGAAAGGGCCUAAUGUGGGGAUAUCAGAAAGGGAUUAAGAGGGAAAUGACCAGAAACAAUAUUAAAGAAAUAAAGGCUGGGCUGGGGUUGUGGCUCAGCGGUAUAGCGCUCGCUUAGCAUGUGCAAGGCCCUGGGUUCAGUCCUCAGCACCACAUAAAAAUAAAUAAAUAAAAUAAAGGUAUUGUGUCCAACUACAACUAAAAAUAAAUAUUUAAAAAAAAAUAAAUAAGGGCUAAGAAUUUUCCAAAACUAAUGAAAUACAUCAAGCCUCAGAUUUAAAAAGCACUAUGUGCCCCAGACUGGAUAAAUUAGAAGAUGUUCACAGCCAUGUCAGAGAAAAACUGCUGAAAACCAAAGUUAACGAGAUGAAUUUUUAACUUACACUAUAAAUAAAAGACAGAUUAUUUGCCUUUUCAAAGAAGCAGUGAUACAGUCAUAUCUAUAAAAAUUUUAUAGCUAACACUGUAGUUAGUGCUGAAAUAUUGUUUUCUCCCUAAGUUUGAGAACAUUACAAGGUCCACCACCACCACUGCUAUUCAAUUUUAUAUGAAGAUUCUAACUAAUUCAGUAUGGAAAGAAAAAAAGAAAAGAAUACAGAAUGUGAAAAGAAGAAAUAAAAUGGUCUUUUGUUGCAUACAACCUGAUGCAAUAUGUAGAAAAUCCAAAAGAAUCAAUAGUUAUAUUAUAUAUUUAGUAAAUAAACUUAUCAAAGUUGCUGGUUAUAAGAUUAGUAUAACAGGGCUGAGGUUGUGGCUCAGUGGUAGAGUGCUUACCUUGCAUGCACAAGGCCCUGGGUUUGAUCCCCAGCACCAAAAAAAAAAAAAAAAAAAAUCAAUAUAACAAAAAACAGUUGUAUAUUCCAUCAAUAAAACAUCAGAAAAUAAGAAUUUUAACCUAUAGCAUUUAUAAAAAUUUGAAACCACCAAAUAUGUAGGAGUAAAUCUAUCAGAAUAUGUAUAAGACCUCUAUACAGAAAACUAUCAAGACAGUCUUUAAAGAAAUUAAUGAUGCUCUAAGUACAAGAGGUAGCCGAGUGCAAUGGCACAUUCCUGUAAUCCCAGCAGCUCGGGAGGCUGAGACAGGAGGAUUUAGAGUUCAAAACCAGCCUCAGCAAUUUAGCAAGACCCUAAGCAAUUCAAAGAGACCCUAUCUCUAAAUAAAAUACAAAAUAGGGCUGGGGAUUUGGCUCAGUGGUCAAGUGCUCCUGAGUUCAAUCCUUGGUACCCCCUCCAAAAAUAAGAGGUAGCCCAUGUUCAUGGAUUAAAAGAUUUAAUAUUGUGAAGACAUUGGUUAACCCAAAAUUUAUCUAUGUAUCUAAUGCCAUCACAAAAUUCGUCUCAGGAGCAUAGGAAAGAGAGAGGAGAGAGAGAGAGAGAGGACUUAUAUAGUAAAGCAAAGGGACAAGAAUAGCCUUCUUGGGAUAAAAGACCCAAAUAUCAAAUUUGAAAAACUAAAGCUAUCAAGACUCAUUUGGAAGCUAAGUAUGGGGUUAUUGCUGUUAAAACAGACAAGCUGACUUAGGGUACAGAGGCCAGGGUCAGAUUCACAUAUGGACAGUCCCUUUAUUUAUGGCAAGUUACUGUCUUUAAGUAUUAAUUUCCCAUUUAUAAAAUAGACUUAAUUAUAGUAUAUACCACCCAAGAUUUAAAUUUUAUACAUUAAAGAUUUAGAUAUUACACUAAUAGGCUAACACAUUUAAGGGGUAUCUUAAGUGCCCAAUAAAAUUUAGCUAGAAUUAAUUCUUAACAUUGUAACUACCUCUAUUGUUAUAAUUAUUACAACCAAUAUUAUUAAUAUUUUUUUCUUGUUUUCAAUGUAAUCAUCUGUAACUGGGGGAUGGGCAAACAGUGAAUCCUGACUGGUAACAAAGAACAUUUGAGGGUCACACAGAAGAGCAGCAAAAAAUUCUUAGCCUACCUGGAAAAAAAUAAUAGAAGCAAGGGUGAUAAACUUCAUGACACAGUCACAAUUGAUUUAGAAGCUAGAGUGGAACUUAGCCUGGCAAUGGUAUAUACUGCACACACAACUGUAUGUUUCAUCUCUAACAAGAUUGUGGUGAUAAGGAAUUAAUGAGAUAAUGAAAUUAAACCUCAGUGCACAGAGUGAAAUCAAAUGCACAAAUGAAAUCAAACUGAAGGCUGAUUCAUUUGUUGUUUGUUUGUUUGGUUGGUUGGUUAGUUGCUUAGUUGGUGGUGUUAUUGCCUAAUGUCACACACCUCAAAUGCUCUUUGCCAUACUUCCCGUAAUUUGGUAAAUUAAAUGAUAUAAUUUUAUAACCAGUCUUCCCAGCUCAGUCUAGACUGUACAGCUGCCCAGGGAUCCUGCACACUGCACUUCGAAAUUAGCACGAGGGAUCUGCAGGAAGGCUGCAUUCUCAUGCACUCCUUCACUGAGAAAACCUCCAGUUGAGGUCCCUUUCUGGGGAUGGGGAGGGAGAAGUGAUGCUCUCACUGCCCUCUGCUGCUUCCCGAGUGCCACCAUGUUGCCUGGCAUUGGGAAAUGUGCUGUCUUGCCAAAGGGAGGGUGAAUCUCUCUCCCUGCCCUGAGGAACUGGGAGAGUUGGUAGGUGUUCUUUUUCAGAGACAAGUUAGUUUCUAAGAUCAAGUAAGGAGUUUGCUUCUGCAGCUUCCUCAUCCUGCAUUUCACACUGCUCAUACCUCAUGGCAGAUGGAAGUCUGGACUUCCUCAAAGUCCAACCUUUACACUAAAGAGCUGGAGUAUUAGUCCAUUUUCUUGUUCUUCUUUUUUCUUUUUUUCUUUCUUUCUUCCUUUCUUUUUGAAGGAGGGGUGUUGGAAAUUGAACCCAGGGCCUCAUGCAUGCUAAGCACACUAUCACUGAGCUACACCCCCAGCUCCAUUGCCCAUUACUAUAAUGAUAUACCUGAGGCUGAGUAACCUAUAAAAAAUAAGAUUUAUUGCUUAGCAUUAUAAAAAUAAAUUCUUAUAAAUAAGAACAAAAAAAAUAAUAAGAUUUAUUUAGCUCGUAGUUGUGGAGCCUGAAAGUCCAAACAGCAUGGUUCUGGCUCUGGCAAAGGCUCUCUGGAUAUAUCACAUCAUGGUGGACGGCAUCAUAGCAGGAUGUGUGCAAGAGGGAGAGUUCACAUGGUGAGGCAGGAAGCCUGAGAGCACAAGGAGGGGCUGGGCUUGCUCUUUGUAAAGUUCUAGUGAGAACUAACCAGGGUCCCACGAGAACACCCAUAUUUCCUUCCAAAGGUAGCGGCCUCAAUUACCUAGGCCCCCACCUCUUAAAGAUUUUACCGUCUUUUAACAUUGCCACACUGGGAACCAAGCUUCCAAUGCACAAACACUUGGGUUCACCCCAUGUACAAACCAUAGCAGCCAGGUGCUAACCACAUGUAAGGUGUUCAGUAUGUAUAAGGCCUGUCAUAAAAGCCCCAUCCAUAUUCCUCCUCUCUUCUCUGAAAUCCUCAAGCAUUGACUUUCCCUAUCAGGAACUCUGGUUCUAUUCCAAAGCCUUUGCUUUAGAUGUACAUAUCUUUAUUCCAACUUGAUUGUAAUAUGAAAGAAACUCUUGCCUCUCACUUCUAGAUCUGCAUGUUCUUAGUAAAUGCUGAUUGGCAAGAUUUCCUGGAACAAAACUGAUAUGACAGCCCAGCUGGGAAAGGCUCUUCCAUUUAAAAGUUCUGCAGUAAAUUCUACCCUGGAUCCUCCGCAAAUAACUAACAGUCUUUGAGUUCUCUCUGAAUGGCUCUGAACCAGGAUUGUGUAAGAGCCAUGUUCUCCCAUUCCUGGGGGACAUUUUCAUCUAUCUAGCCCCUUGGCUGACCGCCAACAGGAGGGGUCACAGUGCUGGAAGCGAUUUCUGAAUGAGACAGAGGACAUGGGUGGAGUCCCCUCAAGUCAGAACAGAAAACUGAAUUGCCAAAAGAAAUUUAUCAUCCUAAUAAAUGAAGCACAUGAUUUGCAUUCCAGGUCCUUCAACUAUUCUAUGGGAACCCGGGCGCUUUCCCAUGACAGUAUUUUUAUCCCUGAUGGGGGAGCAGAAAGUGAGCAGACAGUUCAAGCAAUGUCACAGGACAACAUCCUGGGCAAAGUCAAAACUCUUCAGGUAAGACAGCUUAAGACUGGAAGGUCAGAGCCAGAGGAGGGGUCCUGCUGUGGAGGGAAGUGGACAAGUCCCUAGUUCAUCCUUUAGUGAUGGAUUGGGAGGUUCAGGGUCGCUCCUGGUAAGAUUCCUUCCUGAACCUAACUCAGUUCUCUGGAAGUUUCCUGUGCCCCUAUGAGACAUCACCAUCAUACCCACCUGCACGACUUGCCCUCCCCUUUUCUCUCAAAUUGUUCCUUAAAAAAAAAAAUGGACAUGAGAAUAACAAGUACCCAAGAGAAUCUGCAGGGCUUGGAUGGGAAAAAAAUCUCCUGACCAAAUGAACCCAUAUUCCUGCCAAUGGAAUCUACAUAGCACAUGUUCACUGUCUGUCUCUAUUGGUGGAUAGUGAUUGAUGAGACUUUUUCUGCUGUGUUUGUAAAUCUGGCUCCCCAGCCACCUUUUCUUAGAGGAACACCACAGGCUCCCUCCUGUUCAUGCUGCAGGAUGGGGCAGUUUUCCUACGUAAAAAUUGACUCGGGGAGUGACUCCCUAGCAAUGAAAAGACAAUGAUCCUUUACCAAAUGCCAUCAAAAUAAUGAGAAUCCAGGGUAAGAAAGAAGACCAAAAACACUGAGGGUAUGGCGGUAGGUUUGCCCCAGUUCUUGAUAGAAUUCCCUUGCCCCCAAAUACCCAAGAGCAGUGCCAAAGCAAGCAUUCUCUGAGAUGGAAGCACUUAGAGGCUACCCAGAUUUUGAACAGAGGGCUCUGGAUUCUCAUCUGUCUGUAAGUCUACAACAAUGAGUGAAUGAAUAAGGGACAGGGGGAGGGAAAGAGGAAAAGCUGACCUGAGUGGCUACUGAUAUGAUGAAGCAUUGUACCCAAAAGGAGAUUUUGUUUUCUUGAGCUGCUCUUGUUCUCCUGAGCAUGAGCUUUGUAUUUUGUGACCUGUGUUUGGUCACAUAUUCCAUACACACUCAGCCAAAGGUGAAUGCGGAAUAGCCAACACCCUGUAACCACACCCAGGCAUGCCUAGAUCUUUAUGCCUGUGGCCACUGCUGCCCAGGGCCAGAGUCCUGCCCGCAGAGCCAGCCCAGGCCUGUCCCUCAUAUCCCAGCGUGCCCAACCAGCUCCCACUCCUGGUUCUAGCUGGCUGUGCUCUGAUGAGCCGAUUAGUAGACUGAUGGCAAAGCAGGCUGUCACUUCCCAUCGGUUGGAGAAGAAGAGAGAAUGGGCAUGGCCAGGGAAAACCUUGACCCUCCCCCUUCUAGUCUUUUGAUUUCUAGAAUAUUAUUUCGAAUAGGUUUUGAACUCCUGGCUCAUCAUAUUCCUUUUCUAAGACGAAUGACGUGCAGAAUUCAGGGUAUGAAAUAGCUAUAUUUGUAAAAUAUAAAAACUUUCUAGAAUUUCUUGAAAAAAGACAAUAGCCUGUUGUCUUCAAUGAUAGGUGCUCUGUAACAUACCACAUGCCACCACCACUCCAAAAACUGGUUGUGACAAUACUUAAGAUAUUUAGUAUAUCAUAAAGUUGCCAUUUACAUUCUUGAUAAAAGAGAUGGAAUAUGAAACCUGUGGUCACCUAUGUUAAUAUUGCUACUUUGGACAAUACUUGAGAUUCAUCAAUACAGUAUUUCUGGAGAAGCUACCAAAUGCCAGAGAUCAUGGUAGGCAUCUCCGCAGAUGUUGUCCAGUUUAAUGUUCACGACAAUCCAUGAGGCAAUUGUGUAGUAUUGAAAAUAUAGAAACCUAGUGAAAAAUAUGUGAGUGCUUAGGAUUUGUUACCAAUAAGCAUGAUUUUAAAUAAUCUGAUCUGUUUAAUCAAUAAAAUAUCGAAUAACUAACUUUCCUGAAGUGACCGUUCUUUUAACACAAGAAGAAAAAUGUGAAUAAAGCAAAAUAAUGAUUUGAGUGCUCUCAUUUUGAUAACAUCUCCUCAUACAAGGUCUGCCUAAUUUUGCUUCUGCUUGCAUGGAGUCACAAGCUUCCUUUCAGCUUGGUAGUGAGGUUUUUGAAAAUACAAAAGGCUUUUGCUCUUCAAGGAGGGAAAUGGGGACCGUGAUCAUAGCAAAUGUGAGUUUGGAGUAACCUAAGAUGUGACUGUAUCACCCCCAAAAGACUAUGCUUUAUUUUUCAGUCGACUAAGCAGUAUGUUCCUGGUAAGUCGUAGAAAUAGUAGUAACUUUAUUAACUUGCAUGAAUGCUUUGCAUUUUUCCAUGACAACAUUAUGCUGGUGUCAAUGCUUAGUAAGCAGCAUAAAAGAUCGCCCCCUCGUAAACUCCAGCAUGGAAUGAGAGAGUUCAGCGUGUCAGAGGCAUGUAUGUUUCAUGUCUGGAAUUGUCUUUGUGUAUAUGUGUAUGUUUAUUUUUAAAGAGAGGUAUGGGAUGGAUAACACAGUAAAUGUCCUGAUGAGCUGAUUAGCCACCAUAUUAAGACAUUCUUUUGAAAUGAGAUUUCUACUGGAAUGCCAUUUCAAAAAAAAAAAAUUUUUUUUUUUCUCCAUAGCUUAAAAAACUGCCCAGCCCUCAAACCCUUGGAAACUCCUAGAAGGGCAUCUGUCUUUCUGCAUUUGGCAAGGCUGCCCUCCAGUGUCCACAGCAGUCAUCUCACCUAGAGCUGUCAUGGUAGAUGGGCAGCUGUUAGCAUCUCAGUGCAGACUAACUGAAUAUAGCAUAAAUUAAUCUGUCCUUUCCUGAAUAAAGCCAGCCUAUCACCUGCUAAAAAAUUUGUGGCAAACUAUUGAACCUUUUAAAAGAAAAACUAAUUUUUUUUCUGAGUAUAAAAAUAAUACAGCUAGGCAUGGUGGUACAUGCCUGUAGUUCCAGCAAUUCAGGAGGCUGAGGCAGGAGGAUCACAAGUUCAAGGUCAACCACGGAGGGAUCUAGGUGAAAUAAAAAGUGUGUCAGGCCUCGGCUACCAUCUGGCUCUGUGGCCUUGUAAAGAAGCCAUUAAACUCUCUGAUGCUCACUUCACCCACCUUGAUAAGGGGGAAGCCUGUGAUGGACAAUGUGAAGGACCCUUCUGGUUCUUAAGAUCUGCCCCACCUUAGGAAGUCAUUGUUCACCUGCUGUUGUGCAAGGUGGCUAGAUACGUGUUAAACUUUGUGGCAUUUGGACUAAAUGACCUUGACACUACUUACAGUUUUCCAGCAGCAUGGAUUGGGAGAGUGCCUCCUUGAGAUCAGACCAGGCUAUGAGGUUAUGUCCCGGCCAAUGAGAAAAGUCAGGGGUAUCAUAUUUUAAGCCUGUGGGUGAUUUAUACAAUUAUACCAGAAUUUUGUCAAGGAAAUAUUGAAUCAUGGAUUGUUUGGCAUAGGAGGGAAACCUUCAUCCUCAGUAGCUAGUAUCUCCCACUGAGCUGGAUUUCACUUAAAAAUACCAAAAAUCAUACAUUUGAGCAUUUUGACAACUAAUGCAGCUAUCAAGGACACAAAGAAUAAACACGUGCACUUAGCCACUUCUAAAGUCACUUUUAAAGAGCAGUUGUUUUUAAAUUGUUAUGCUUUCUUUUUUAAAAAAAAUUCACAUUAACAAUGGAAGUAUCUGUAGUUUGCUCAAGAAGACAGGAACUUUAUUGUUCCUCUGCUUAACUCUUACAAUUAUGGUCUGAAGAGUGGCCAUGAAAAAUCUGGGGAAUUCUAGACACUGGCAACGAGAGAGCUACAGAAUAUGAUGUGCUUGGCAUUUCCUCACCAUAGGAACAAACCUCAUGAAUAUGGAUGUGCAUUCCUGUAGCGUCAUUCUCUGGCAUUCCAUAUUACAACAAAAUGGCCCAAUAUGAAUGAAUAAAAUAUGGCUCCUCUUAGCUCACAUUCUGGUCUCAACAGUAACUCCAUUCAUAGCCCCGCAAUAGACUCAAUAUAGACACAAGUAAUAACUGCAGUGUGUAUAAAGACAGUUCAUGGGUAUUAAAAAAAAAAAAGUGAGGAGAGCAGUAGUUUUGUCUCUGAACCUAAGACCACCUCAUCUUAUUGAGAUGACUGCUCACUGAUGUCAUAGUUCCUCUCGUGACAAUGAGUAGCACACAAAUUAGAGUAACAGAAAAGCCAUGUUUAUCCAAAUAUUCAAUUCAAGUGACACCUGAGAUUGCCCAAUAGGUUUUGGCAGUUACCUUUUAAUUGUCAGUACAUUUCACAAAAUGUCACAACUGCCCAGUCUCCUUUGAGGAGGCUGAAGGAGACCUUUGCAGGAGGAACUGCAGGGAGGACGUGUGGGUGGGAGCUCCUGGUCAUUGGGUGUGCGAGGAUCGAUGGCCAUAGCCCUGGACCCUAAGUCCUGCCCUGACCUCUAGUGCCUGACAGUUGCAGAACAUGUCUGUGAGGACAGUCCUUUGUCUGGACACAUAGACUAGCCCUACUCAGAUCCCUGCUACCAUUCCUCUCCUGCUUCUCAGCCCCACCCCAAGGUCCCAAACCACUUGCCUGAAUCUGUUUUCUCUGGGGGGAUUUCAAAUCUGUUCCUGUACCAAGAGGCACAUUUUCAUUUCCAAAGGCAACAGCAGUGUUUUUCUUUUGCCAGGAUGAACAUAUCUGUGAUAGAAAUCAACCUUUUGACACACACACACACACACACAGAGUCAUUCCCUCCUGUCCUCUUCCCCUUCCUCCUUUUCUCUCUCUGUCCCCCAGGUCCCCUAGCUAUUGGAACUGCCAGCAGUCCUUCAGCUCUCUCUGGGCCCUUCUCUCUCUUCUUCCCUAUGCAUUUCCUCUGUCCCCAGCACCUUUCCCUCAACCCACCUCUUGAAUUCUCUACCUCAUUUGUGAACAUGCCCCCGGUACUGUAUGGUCCCUGUUUUUUUUUUUUUUUAAGUUAUAGGUAGACACAAUAUCUUUAUUUUAUGUUUAUGUAGUGCUGAGGAUCGAACCCAGUACCUCACGCAUGCGCUCUACCUUUGAGCCACAACCCCAGCCCCUUGUCCCUAUUCUUAUUCAUUUAUUUGUUUCUUUCUGUUCUCUUUCCUGUUUCCUUUGUGGCCACAAUAGUCAUCCCAACUUUGCAGUUAUUUCAGUCUAGAAUGUGAUUACAUUUUGCCUCAUUUUUUUUUUGCCUCAUAAGCAUCUUAAUGAACCAACAUGAGUAUUCUAAAAAUUAAAAUAUCAGCAUAUUUAUUCACAAUUAAAUGGCAUCAGAGUAUUAGGCCAAGAAUUACAAUAAAGAAUUAUUCUUUCCAUUAUAAGUACAAGAAAUAACCUCACCUCAGUUGGUUUGUACAUUACUGUUAGGAGAAGAAAUGAAUUCUAGUGUUUUGUAGCACACUGUAGAGUAACUAGAAUUAACAAUCAUUUACUGUAUGUUUCAAAAUAGCUAGAAAAGGGAAUUUUGAAUAUUCCUAACAAAGAAAUGAUAAAUGUUUGAGAUGAUGCAUAUAUCAAUUAUCCUAAUUAUACAUUGUAUUCAUGUACUGAAAUAUUAGUUAACAAUUUAUUGUGUAUUUCAAAGUAGCUAGAAAACAGAACUUUGUUCUCAGCACAAAGAAAGUAUAAGUGUUUGAGGUCAUGGAUAUGCCAGUUACCCUGACCUAAUCAUCACACCCUGUAUACAUGUAUUAAAGUAUCACACUCCAUAAGAGCAUAUAAUUAGUAUAUGUCAAUUAAACAAAGAAACACAUGCAUCUCAGCAAUUGGGAGCAUUGGCAAUCAGCAGACCCUGCUCACAGGAGGUGUCCAGGGUCACAGGGUUUAGGACAGCCCCUAGCUCUUGGCCAACACUACUAGGAAGGCCAGCCUGGGAGGACACAGGAACCUGCCCCAGUCUUCUGCCCCUGGGCAGCAGAACCCAGCUGGCCGCUGGCUUUGCAACCCCCUGUCCUCUUGUCUGACUCCAUCGCUAUCCUCACGUGCCUGCUUACUGACCUGCUUAGGGUAGACACUAACUGCCCUUUCCUGCUAGGCUUGUUUUUGGAAAACACGUUUUUUUCAACCUUCUCCUCCCCGCAACCCCUUCAGGCUGCUCAAGCUGCCCGUCCCUGGCUGAACUCAAGGCUUUUGAUGUGUGCUCCUUCCCCUUGGAGCUGGGGAGCCCUGCUCAGGCUGAAACACCUGCGGGCCAGAUCCCCGCCCUUGCCUUGCCGCUCCUGCCUGGGCAUGCGGGGGUUCCUUGGGCGCGAGGGGAAGGGAGGCUGGGGCCCGUCUCUGUCUGUGUGUUCCUGCUCACUAGGCGAGGCUGGGGGUGGGGGAGCUGGGCGAACGUGGGUGGAUUUGGUACCAUUGAGUAAGGGAGAGAGGGCAAUUCCCUCAAGGGAACUUCAGACAAAUAUUUUAAAUGCUGCAUCAUCUCUUUAUAUAACUGCCCCUGCAAGCAGGAAGGACAUUGUCAAAUUUAUGAGGGCUGAUGAAGUGCAAUGAAAAUAACCUUAAUGUAAUUUAAGAAGACUCAGGUUCUGAUUCCUUUGGGGCUACUUAUUCUUCCCAUAAGCUUGGGCCAGUUGCCUCUCCCUGUGGGACAUCUGGCAUUUAUUUAUUUACUUACUUACUUACUUAUUUAUUUAUUAAUUAAGUAAAGAGUUUUGAAUAGGUGAUUGCUAAGGUUCUUUGCUGGUCUGUGAGAUUAAACAUUAGCCAGAUUAAAGAUAAAUAUCAGAGAAUUUUUUUUGAGGCAUAUAAGGAUUGUGAAACUCAAGAACCUACUAUCUAGAGCAGUGGUUCUCAGCUGGGGGCAAUUUUACCCCCAACCCCAGGGACACUGGGAAACAUCUAGAGACUUUUUUCUUUUCUUUUCUAAUCUGGCCCUUGUCUAAUUCCAAAUACAAUUUGUCUUCCCUUCUCCUUGUAAUUACCAUCUACUAGUGGUCCACCCCUCCUUGACCCUUUUCUCCUCCUGGUUCCUUCAGUCUUGGUCUCUCUCCUAUUUCGUGAUGUGUAAAUACUCCAAGGCAAAGAAGUCUGGACCGUUCCCAUCCCUUAUAUGCUCUCGACAUUGAUCAGGGAAAGACCUGCUGGCCCAGGGACCUUCUUCACCGUGGCUGUGACCCACCAUGACCUAAGCAUGAGGUCUGGCGUGGGGUUGCAAGCUGGGUGCCAGAGGUGAAGAUGGUAGAAGAAUAAUUUUCACAGGGAACGUGUCCAGAAGAGGCUGGAAAUUUCCCUUGUUGUACCUGCUUUAAGAGCUUUCAUUUCCCCCAGAGUUUCUACAUUUCAUGUAACUGUUUUCUGCAUAAUUUUUGUACUUUUAAAAAAGACUUUCUAGAUUUAUAGACAAGUCCAAAAUCAAAAACAUAUUUCAACGUUUGGUUCAGAAAUAUGGUGCCUGUACCCUAGAAAAAUGUUGGCAUUUCCAUGAAAGAGGUGGCUAGAUGAAAAAAGUCCCGGUUUGAAGAUGGGAGAGUCAAAGGGACUGGAAGACUCGCAUGUUCUCUAGGACUGCCUGUGGUUCCCUGGCAUGGCAGUGGGUCUAGGAAGCAGCUGGGCUCAGGCGUAUGCCUCAGCGCUUCCUAGAUAUGCUGGGGAACCUGGUUGUGGUUUUUGGGACUGCUUCACUGCUUCAGAAUGUCUUUCUUUUGUUCCUCUCCAGCGACAAUUGGGCAAGAAUAUCAAGUUUGGGCAGCGGCCACCCAAUGCCAUUCCCAUGAAGAAGGCAGGCAGUGGAGAGGCCAGCUCAGAAGAGGACCUGUUCCUGGCCAGUCCCAUGGAAAUUGUCACUCAGCAGGACAUCAUCCUCUCAGACGCUGAGAACAAAGUAAGUCUCUGCUGUGGAAGACUUGAUGGCUCCUAAGCCAUUCACAGGACUUUAGGCAGUGAACACAGGCUCCUCAUGACCCUGCAGUCUGCAGUGGGGAGAACAAGAUGGGAGAAGCUUCUCUGAUAAGUAGCCCAGGGGUGGAGGGUACUUCCUGGUGCCCGUGAGGUCUCUUUCUAGUGCCUUCCAAGUACCCUUCAAGGCUCAGGUUGUGCCCACCUCUUCUGGGAACACUCCCCUGGCCUCACUUCUGAGUGUAUUUUCUCUCUACGUGUGCUGUGCGUCUUCACCACUGUUUCCACACCCAUAUCUCCCAUCCAUGUCUGUCCAUGGAACUAUUCCUCUCUCCAUCUCAAAACACUGACUUUCUUGAGGAUAAAGUGGGUCUCACCCAUCUGGGUGUCCCCAAGAUCGUAGCUAGUGCCUGUUUAGGUGCACUGUAUAAUGACUUGUCAGGUUACGGUGAUUUAAAGGGAAAUGAAAAAAGAAAAC
rnacentral:lncRNA from 1 species